rnacentral:rRNA from 1 species
GAUUCAGCGGCGGACGGGUGAGUAAUGCCUAGGAAUCUGCCUGGUAGUGGGGGACAACGUUUCGAAAGGAACGCUAAUACCGCAUACGUCCUACGGGAGAAAGCAGGGGACCUUCGGGCCUUGCGCUAUCAGAUGAGCCUAGGUCGGAUUAGCUAGUUGGUGGGGUAAAGGCCUACCAAGGCGACGAUCCGUAACUGGUCUGAGAGGAUGAUCAGUCACACUGGAACUGAGACACGGUCCAGACUCCUACGGGAGGCAGCAGUGGGGAAUAUUGGACAAUGGGCGAAAGCCUGAUCCAGCCAUGCCGCGUGUGUGAAGAAGGUCUUCGGAUUGUAAAGCACUUUAAGUUGGGAGGAAGGGCAGUAAGUUAAUACCUUGCUGUUUUGACGUUACCAACAGAAUAAGCACCGGCUAACUUCGUGCCAGCAGCCGCGGUAAUACGAAGGGUGCAAGCGUUAAUCGGAAUUACUGGGCGUAAAGCGCGCGUAGGUGGUUUGG